GAGAAUAUUCCACAAUGGACGAAAGUCUGAUGGAGCGACGCCGCGUGCGGGAUGAAGGCCCUCGGGUUGUAAACCGCUUUUUUCAGGGAGCAAUUUCGAUGAGAGUACCUGAAGAAUAAGAGGUUACUAACUCUGUGCCAGCAGUAGCGGUAAUACAGAGACCUCAAGCGUUAUCCGGAUUUAUUGGGCGUAAAGCGCAGGUAGGCGGGUUUAUUAGUCGGAUGUCAAAGACCGGGGCUCAACUCCGGGAAGGCAUUCGAAACGGUAUACCUAGAGAAUGUGAGAGAUGAGUGGAAUUCAUGGUGUAGUAGUGAAAUGCGUUGAUAUCAUGAGGAACACCGAAGGCGAAG
rnacentral:rRNA from 1 species